rnacentral:piRNA from 1 species
UUCAAGGUCCAGACCCAGGUACCGAGGAGC